rnacentral:misc_RNA from 1 species
GCUGCAUGGCGAUCUCAGCGUCUUGAGCUUCGUUGUGGUGUUGGAGCUCCAUGGCGGCCCAGGACUUGUAGGCUUCGAUCUCGAAGAGCUUCAUGAGGUCUUCUAUGGUGGAAGGGUCGAAAUUCUUGUGUUGUAGAGCUUGAUCGGAGAGGAAGGUGAACUGGGAGAUGAGAGCUUCCAUUGGAAGAGGGAUUUGGGGGAAAUUUAGAGAUCUGAGGAAGGAGAAAAGUGGGUAAUGGAUGGUUGAGAAUGGAGAAUCAGAUGAUGAUGGUG